UUUGNAUCAUGGCUCAGGACGAACGCUGGCGGCGUGCUUAACACAUGCAAGUCGAACGAUGAACCACUUCGGUGGGGAUUAGUGGCGAACGGGUGAGUAACACGUGGGCAAUCUGCCCUUCACUCUGGGACAAGCCCUGGAAACGGGGUCUAAUACCGGAUACUGACCCUCGCAGGCAUCUGCGAGGUUCGAAAGCUCCGGCGGUGAAGGAUGAGCCCGCGGCCUAUCAGCUUGUUGGUGAGGUAAUGGCUCACCAAGGCGACGACGGGUAGCCGGCCUGAGAGGGCGACCGGCCACACUGGGACUGAGACACGGCCCAGACUCCUACGGGAGGCAGCAGUGGGGAAUAUUGCACAAUGGGCGAAAGCCUGAUGCAGCGACGCCGCGUGAGGGAUGACGGCCUUCGGGUUGUAAACCUCUUUCAGCAGGGAAGAAGCGA
rnacentral:rRNA from 2 species